rnacentral:rRNA from 1 species
GCGUUGAAAAGCUCGGGGAUGACUUGUGGGUAGCGGUGAAAUUCCAAUCGAGCCCGGAGAUAGCUGGUUCUCCCCGAAAUAGCUUUAGGGCUAGCCUCAAGGUGAGAGAUACGGAGGUAGAGCACUGAAUGUCCUAGGGGGUAUUGCACCUACCGAAGACUAUCAAACUCCGAAUGCCGUCAUCUUAUACUUGGGAGUCAGACUGUGGGUGAUAAGAUUCAUAGUCGAAAGGGCAACAGCCCAGAUCGUCAGCUAAGGUCCCUAAAUGUAAGUUAAGUGGUAAAGGAUGUGGGAUUGCACAGACAACCAGGAUGUUGGCUUAGAAGCAGCCACUCAUUCAAAGAGUGCGUAAUAGCUCACUGGUCGAGUGAUCCUGCGCCGAAGAUUUCCGGGGCUAAAACUUACUACCGAAGCUACGGCAUCAGUAAUGAUGGGUAGGGGAGCUUCCCAUACGGGUUGAAGCAUGACCGUAAGGACAUGUGGACAGUAUGGGAGUGAGAAUGUUGGCAUGAGUAGCGAGAUGUGGGUGAGAAUCCCACAGGCCGUAAACCCAAGGUUUCCAGGGGAAGGUUCGUCCGCCCUGGGUUAGUCGGGACCUAAGCUGAGGCCGAAAGGCGUAGGUGAUGGACAACAGGUUGAUAUUCCUGUACUACCGAUAACCGUUUGAGAGAAGGGAUGACACAGUAGGAUAAGCUAAGCACACUGUUGGUUAUGUGUGCCCAAGCAUUGAGGCAGUCAAAGUAGGCAAAUCCGCUUUGAUAAUGCUGGGAUGUGAUGGGGAGCGAAAUUUAGUAGCGAAGUAGCUGAUUUCACACUGUCAAGAAAAGUCUCUAUCGAGGUUAAAGGUACCCGUACCGCAAACCGACACAGGUGGGUGAGGAGAGUAUCCUAAGGCCAGCGAGAGAACUGUUGUUAAGGAACUCGGCAAAAUGACCCCGUAACUUAGGGAUAAGGGGUGCCACCAU